rnacentral:rRNA from 1 species
CUCGUAGGCGGUUUGUCGCGUCUGCUGUGAAAACCCGAGGCUCAACCUCGGGCCUGCAGUGGGUACGGGCAGACUAGAGUGCGGUAGGGGAGAUUGGAAUUCCUGGUGUAGCGGUGGAAUGCGCAGAUAUCAGGAGGAACACCGAUGGCGAAGGCAGAUCUCUGGGCCGUAACUGACGCUGAGGAGCGAAAGCAUGGGAGCGAACA